ACGCUCGACACCUACGGGAGGCAGCAGUUGGGAAUAUUGGACAAUGGAGGAAACUCUGAUCCAGUGACGCCGCGUGAAGGAAGAAGGUCUUCGGAUUGUAAACUUAUUUUGUCAGGGAAGAAAAAAUGACUGUACCUGAAGAAAAAGCACCGGCUAACUACGUGCCUGCAGCCGCAGUAAUCUGAGCGGGCUGGCAACGGC
rnacentral:rRNA from 1 species